CCACUUCUGUCACAUCCGGAUUUAAAGGAUAAAGCCGGGUGCGUCUCAUAUGUGCGCCAAGGAAGAACAUCACAUAUAAUGACAAAGUGUAUCGAGAUAAAUUUCGUAAAUAUCAUAAAUGUAAUUAUUACAUAGCGGAAGUCUUACAAACAUAAAUGGUAAUGAUAAAGCGAACUAAUUAUUAUUUCCCUGGCACCACAAAGCUAACUGGGAGACGUCACCUAGAUCAAGUCAAACUCCUCGUUGUGCGGCUCCUCUUCGACCACCUGCUCUUCACCUGUGGGGGGUUAUAUAUCGCAAGACUGAGCUCACAAAAGAUCAUAGCUCAACAAGUUGCGGGGAAUAAUGUGCAUGAACAUGCCAAAGGUGGGAGUUCAUGUGAGGUGUAAGGCUGACCAAUAAAUAAAGGUUAAAGUUGAGCAUUGCUUUUAUAAGUUGGUCAAAAUUUUAUUAGCAGUUACUAAAUGUAAGUGAAUAUCAAACCAUAGUAAUAGUGAAUAAAAAUAAUAAUAAUCCCAAUGCGAUGCAAAUGACAAAUUGAAUUUAAUUUCAUAAAUUAAUCAUGUGAGUGUCCGAGCUGCACAUGACCGUGAGCACGGCUAGUAUACCAGUUUUACACUCUGCAGAGGUUGUGCAUCUUUACCCACAAGUCAUGUUACCCAUUUGCCACGGGGUUGAUCGGACCCCAUACAGCUCUACCAAGGAAGCGAGGCAGGGUACCACUAUGAGGCCUUUACAAAGUUCCACUAGCUUCAGAAAACCCGCUAUAGUUUCUAGAAAGCUCCAAUGCAGGGACCCCUCGCCUGACCGCCAUCGCAGCAAAAUUAACCCAAGGGCCUCCCCACAUUGACCACUCCCCUACUGCCCUUGCCCCUAUCGGGUAAGGUAGUUCUCCACUAGCUUUCCUAGUUAGUCAGCCGAAGGCGUCCCAUACCACCCUUGUGGUAGCACUGUUUUCCCGGGUGGUUCUCCAUGUUCCAAUUAACAUAAUGAUCUUAUCAUGAAUAGUAAAUAAUAAUCUGAUAAAAAAGUGUAAUCAUGAAUAAUGUAUAUCUCCAUACCCAAAACCACAUAAAGCAAUAGCAUGUACUACCCAAAAAUUCAGUGGUAAAACAAGGUAUAAAGAUAGCCAAACUGGGGUAACUUAUUGAGUCCCAUCAAAAUUAACCUAUGUAGAUCAUUAUGAUUAACAACUUGCCUUCAACGAGCUCUUGCUCAGCAGUCUCCACCUGAUGAACCCCUGGAUCCUCUGUAGCUUGCUCGUCUACUCGCAAUAAUACAAACACACAUGGUAUAUCAAAAUUAACAUCACACCAAACAACAGAACAAAAUGUAUGAUAAUAUUCUACGCUGCGUAACGAGAUCGUAGGAACAAGAAUCACUAAAUUCGGAGUUACUGUUAUUAUGUUAUGAAUUUCUAAAGUCAUUUAGUACCUAGAAUAGCAUAAUUCACGUGAAUAAUUUUAGUUCAAGUUUCAUGGCUAAACAGAGGUACUAAGUGAUAGACAAUAUUAAAACAAAAUUAAUACCACUGGAAUGGAUCAAUUUGGAGUUAAAAUGAAUUAAAUAUGAAUUUCACAAGUUUCUGGAAUUAUUUUUGUAUUAAAAAUCAAUUUAUAUAAUUAAUUAUCUAUUUUCAUUGUUCUCUAUACAUCGCAUCAAAUACCGAAUAGUGCAGGGGCUGAUCUACAAAAAUUCCCUAGACUCAGACUCCUACCAGAGAGGAUUGUGGGUUGAUUUAACAAAAUCCGAGGGCUCCUAUGAAAGUAUGCGUUCGCGAAGGGGUAUGGUGUGAUAUCGGUCGUCCGAUCUCAUGCAACGGCACAUAUUAGAUCUGGCUGCCCGCGAAGCGGUAUGCAGCGCGGUCCGUCCGAUCUGUGAUCUACGGUGCGGAUUCAAUAAAUCCAGAAUCGCCUUGACUCGUCUGAUCGGAUCCUACGGCCGAGAUUUUGUACACGAAGAGGUAUGCUGCCAUGCCAUCCCAGCCGUACACCCCAGAAUCUACGGUUGAGGCGACCCUUCAUCCGAGAUCUAAUCUUAGACCCUUAUAACCGAUCCAAUGGUUGUCGAUCGAUUUCCCCAUACCCAAACAGGACCCGGUGGGGCGGUGACCUUCCGCGGUGGUGCCAUGGCCGGAGUCAUGGCACCAGGCGAUGCGACGCAAACCUCAAGUCUUCCUGGCGCUGUAUGAUCAACGGGGUACGGUGAUUACUACGGGUAACAGCUACACGACGGUGGUGCCCGAAGUAAUGUCGGCCACGGCGCGCGGUUGCCGUGGAGCUCCGGUGAGCAAUUCAGGAGACCCAUUGAACCUAUUUUGGGCGCAAUGUAGACAGCUACCAUCUAAAGGAAAUGCCGGAGCUAGCGAAAGAGGCUUACCGGCAAGGAAAAGUAGAGGGGUGACUGGCCGCAGCGAAUUCCAUGUCCGAUCCCGGCGACACUGCUCUUCUUCUCCCUCUCUCUCUCUCAGCUUUACGACGAGGCUAGGGUGUCUAGGACUCGGGACGGGCGGACGGGUCCCCGGGCACUAAAUAAAGGCAUGGGUGGUGGCCGAGGGAUGGUUGACAAGUCGACCGGCUCUGGGGAAGUCGCGGCGGUUGUUGCGCUUGCGAGCGAAGAAAGGGGGAAGUGGACGCCUGACAAGGUAGGGCCCGCGCGUCAUGGAGGCAACAGAUC
rnacentral:lncRNA from 1 species